AUUGAACGCUGGCGGCAUGCCUUACACAUGCAAGUCGAACGGUAACAGGGAGCUUGCUCCGCUGACGAGUGGCGAACGGGUGAGUAAUAUAUCGGAACGUACCUUUGAGUGGGGGAUAACUAGUCGAAAGAUUAGCUAAUACCGCAUACGAUCUACGGAUGAAAGCGGGGGAUCGCAAGACCUCGUGCUCAUAGAGCGGCCGAUAUCUGAUUAGCUAGUUGGUGAGGUAAAGGCUCACCAAGGCUUCGAUCAGUAGCUGGUCUGAGAGGACGACCAGCCACACUGGGACUGAGACACGGCCCAGACUCCUACGGGAGGCAGCAGUGGGGAAUUUUGGACAAUGGGGGCAACCCUGAUCCAGCAAUGCCGCGUGAGUGAAGAAGGCCUUCGGGUUGUAAAGCUCUUUUGUCAGGGGAGAAACGGGGGUUCCUAAUACGAGUCCCUAAUGACGGUACCUGAAGGAUAAGCACCGGCUAACUACGUGC
rnacentral:rRNA from 1 species